GGAGUGUGCUCAGAGCAGGGGCCUGAAGAAUGGGUCCUCUGUUUAUAACACACCCAAUAGGAAUCUGGGGUUUUGAAAGGAGGGGCACAAAAAUGGUCUGGUCUACCUAUGAACAAAUGCCCUACAUUU
ensembl:snoRNA